rnacentral:rRNA from 2 species
GACCUCAAAUCGGGUGAGACUACCCGCUGAACUUAAGC